CAGCCGUAAACUAUGCGCGUUAGGUGUAUCGGUGACCACGAGUUACCGAGGUGCCGAAGGGAAACCGUGAAACGUGCCGCCUGGGAAGUACGGUCGCAAGGCUGAAACUUAAGGGAAUUGGCGGGGGAGCACCACAACAGGUGGAGCCUGCGGUUUAAUUGGACUCAACGCCGGGAAGCUCACCGGAUAGGACAGCAGAAUGAUUGCCGGGCUGAAGACCCUGCAUGACUAGCUGAGAGGUGGUGCAUGGCGUCAGUGACU
rnacentral:rRNA from 1 species